rnacentral:rRNA from 1 species
UACAUGGGGUGCAAACGUUGCUCGGAAUUACUGGGCGUAAAGCGUGCGCAGGCGGUUUUGUAAGUCAGAUGUGAAAUCCCCGGGCUCAACCUGGGAACUGCGUUUGAAACUGCAAGGCUAGAGUAUGGGAGAGGGAGGUAGAAUUCCACGUGUAGCAGUGAAAUGCGUAGAGAUGUGGAGGAAUACCAAUGGCGAAGGCAGCCUCCUGGCCUAAUACCGACGCUCAUGCACGAAAGCGUGGGGAGCAAACAGG